rnacentral:lncRNA from 1 species
AUGAAGGCAACAGUAAUACAUCUGUUGCUGGUCUCUGCCUCCUCUACCUCCUCAUCCUCCCGUAUUGUUUCUUCCAUCACCUCGAUUGCAAUUGAAGUUUUGGCAAGGCCCAUCGUUUGGUGCCCCAAAGACAUUGUUGACUGGCCUCCCCUGUUGCUUGGAGUAUCAUAUUGCCACGGCUUUUGCUAGCCCCACUGAUUUUGUGUUUGUCUCUGCUUCUUCUAGGCAAUGAGGUUGUCA